AACGUUAUUUUUUUUUCCUACUAUGGAAGUCAAUGAGACCAGAAUCUGUCUGGUUACUGACAUUCUUCUAAAUAUCUUCCUUUCUGUUCAGCAGAAGAAAGAAAUUCAUACAGGUUUAAAACAACAUGAGGGUGAGUAUAUGAUGACAGUAUUUUCAUUUUAAAGUGGAGCAUCCCUUUAACUCAGACCCUUGUUGGUACUAUCAGUGUGUUAGUGGCAAUGGUGACUGAUAUUUCUCUGCAAUAGACAUGAAUACUUCGGAGCGAAAGUUGGACAAACGUUCGAAGAAAGAUUCCGAAUACAACGCCAUUGUGGGAAAGAGAAUCCGUGUUGCCAAACGUCUGUGGGAGGAUGAGGAUGAGGAUGACCCCCCUACUGCCGUGGCCACAGUCAGUGGAACCAAAGCUGCCAUUCACAAUCAAGGAGCUGAAAUCCUAGCUUCCAUUUCCUUGGAAGAACAAGCAGAAAAUAGUGACAACGAGCUCUCACUUGUGCAUCAAGAAUUGCUAGAAAUAAAAAAAUUCAUCUUUACAGAGAUACCUUAGAUAAAAGAAAUGCUCAACAGAAGCUCCAUGCACCUCGGCAGUCCAGGGUCUCUCCCCAGCCCUUCAAACCCUGUUCAAAUAGAAGAAAUUGUCCCAGGUUCAGGUGUUUACGUAUCACGAAGUGUGUGGCGCUCUGCUUGCCAGGCAUCUAGUGGGACUUCAAUGGCAAGGAUUUUGCUGCUUGGGGUGUUUGACAUUGAAACACUUAUCAAAAGUAAUUUGAGAGGAGGGGAAUCCAAGGUUUCAAAGGGGGGAGAUGGGGAGAAAAGAAGCGCCCUGGAUGAAAUAAAAGUGAAAGCUAUAAUGGAUGCUGUUAUGUCAAGACACUCAGUUUCGACUGGCCAGAUCGGAGCAGCCCUGAAUGGGAAGAUGGCAGAACUAAGACUGGCAAUGUCCAGGAAAAAUUUUCAUUAAAAAUGAGUGUUUCCCGAGUGAGUCAAAAAAUCUGAAGUUGAAAUUAAAUGAAGUUUUUACUUGAAAAGUUUGUGUACUGAACAAAAUGCAUUAAAGUUUGUAUUUGAAAAGACCUGGAAUUGUGUGUUCUG